rnacentral:tRNA from 1 species
GCCCUCGUGGCCUAACGGAUAAGACAUCGGUCUCUAAAACCGGGGAUUGCGGGUUGGUAUCCCGCCGAGCGUA